UACGGGGGGGGCAAGCGUUGUUCGGAAUUACUGGGCGUAAAGGGCUCGUAGGCGGCCAACUAAGUCAGACGUGAAAUCCCUCGGCUUAACCGGGGAACUGCGUCUGAUACUGGAUGGCUAGAGGUUGGGAGAGGGAUGCGGAAUUCCAGGUGUAGCGGUGAAAUGCGUAGAUAUCGGGAGGAACACCAGUGGCGAAAGCGCCUUGCUGGACCACUACUGACGCUAAGGAACGAAAGCCAGGGUAGCGAAAGGG
rnacentral:rRNA from 1 species